rnacentral:rRNA from 1 species
AUUGAACGCUGGCGGCAUGCUUUACACAUGCAAGUCGAACGGCAGCACGGGUGCUUGCACCUGGUGGCGAGUGGCGAACGGGUGAGUAAUGCAUCGGAACGUGCCCAUGAGUGGGGGAUAGCCCGGCGAAAGCCGGAUUAAUACCGCAUACGCCCUUAAGGGGAAAGCGGGGGAUCUUCGGACCUCGCGCUAUUGGAGCGGCCGAUGUCGGAUUAGCUAGUAGGUGAGGUAAAGGCUCACCUAGGCGACGAUCCGUAGCUGGUCUGAGAGGAUGAUCAGCCACACUGGGACUGAGACACGGCCCAGACUCCUACGGGAGGCAGCAGUGGGGAAUUUUGGACAACGGGGGCAACCCUGAUCCAGCCAUGCCGCGUGAGUGAAGAAGGCCU